GAUGAAGAACGUAGCGAAAUGCGAUAAGUAGUGUGAAUUGCAGAUUUCAGUGAAUCAUCGAAUCUUUGAACGCACAUUGCGCCCUUUGGUAUUCCUUAGGGCAUGCCUGUUCGAGCGUCAUUUAAACCUUCAAGCUCAGCUUGGUGAUGGGUGACUGUCCGCUGCCUCCCCCCGGGGUGCGCCGCGGACUCGCCUCAAAACGAUUGGCGGCCGGUACGUUGGCUUCGAGCGCAGCAGAAACGCGUAACUCGAGGGCCCCGUGGCGGCUCCCAGAAGCAACCUUAUUAUUUUGACCUCGGAUCAGGUAGGGAUACCCGCUGAACUUAAGCAUAUCAAUAAGCGGAGGA
rnacentral:misc_RNA from 1 species